rnacentral:rRNA from 1 species
CCUACGGGAGGCAGCAGUGAGGAAUAUUGGUCAAUGGCCGAGAGUCUGAACCAGCCAAGUAGCGUGAAGGAUGAAUGUCCUAUGGGUUGUAAACUUCUUUUAUAUGGGAAUAAAAUGUUCCACGUGUGGGAUUUUGUAUGUACCAUAUGAAUAAGGAUCGGCUAACUCCGUGCCAGCAGCCGCGGUAAUACGGAGGAUCCGAGCGUUAUCCGGAUUUAUUGGGUUUAAAGGGAGCGUAGGUGGAUUGUUAAGUCAGUUGUGAAAGUUUGCGGCUCAACCGUAAAAUUGCAGUUGAAACUGGCAGUCUUGAGUACAGUAGAGGUGGGCGGAAUUCGUGGUGUAGCGGUGAAAUGCUUAGAUAUCACGAAGAACUCCGAUUGCGAAGGCAGUUCACUGGACUGCAACUGACACUGAGGCUCGAAAGUGUGGGUAUCAAACAGGAUUAGAUACCCCUGUAGUC